GUCCGACGGUCUGCUGCAGCUGGUCUGUGGGCGAUCUCUAGGGCGGUGUGGGGCCCGCUCCAGUAAGGUUGGAGUGUUCGGGACGGUUGGGUACGUUUUCCUUUUGGGUCCCGGGAUUGGUCUGCUCAUCUACAUGUUUGGUUCCGUCUAUUGCGGGCGUUGGGGGCGAUUUCUGCGAUUAGCGGGGCUCGGCUUCCCGUUCAUGUUACGGUAGUCGGCAAG